rnacentral:rRNA from 1 species
AAUCUUCCACAAUGGGCGAAAGCCUGAUGGAGCAACGCCGCGUGAGUGAAGAAGGAUUUCGGUUCGUAAAACUCUGUUGUAAGGGAAGAACAAGUACAGUAGUAACUGGCUGUACCUUGACGGUCCCUUAUUAGAAAGCCACGGCUAACCACGUGCCAGCAUCCGCGGUAAUACGUAGGUGGCAAGCGUUGUCCGGAAUUAUUGGGCGUAAAGCGCGCGCAGGUGGUUUCUUAAGUCUGAAUGGAAAGCCCACGGCUCCACCGUGGAGGGGCAUUGGAAACUGGGAGACUUGAGUGCAGGAGGGGAUAGUGGAAUUCCAAGUGUAGCGGUGAAAUGCGUAGAGAUUUGGAGGAACACCAGUGGCGAAGGCGACUAUCUGGUCUGUAACUGACACUGAGGCGCGAAAGCGUGGGGAGCAAACAGG